CUCUAUGGAGAAGGUGAGGGUCAGACCUGGGAUAAAGAGUUCCAGUGUAAAGGCAAAGAGUCCCUUCUCCUGGACUGUGACACCUCAGACAGAAAACACAACAUCUGCCUACCUGGUAAUGCUGUUGGACUCACCUGCUCAGAGCCUGAUGAUGUGAGGCUGGUGGGAGGAGGCAGUCGCUGUGCUGGUGGAGUGGAGUGGUACGACCAGGGAGAGUGGAGGACUGUGGGAGCUGAGGACUGGGAUGUAGCUGCAGUAGUGUGUAGACAGCUGGGUUGUGGCUCCACUGUUUCAGUACUACCUGGAGACACCACUAGAGGGUUUAGAGUUGACUGUUAUGGGUCUGAGUCUUCACUGAGGGAGUGUUCCAGAACAUAUGAUCUCCUUCCUGGACUCACAGUGAUCUGCUCAGAGUCUGUGAGGCUUGUGGAUGGAGCUGGUCUCUGCUCUGGGAGAGUGGAGGUGAAGUCCAAUCAGUCCUGGGCCUCAGUGUGUGAAGCUGACUUUGACCGGCAGGAUGCAGAGGUAGUCU